rnacentral:piRNA from 1 species
UAAUAGAUUUGUUUUUCCAACCCUGCUCCC